rnacentral:rRNA from 1 species
UACGGAGGGUGCAAACGUUGCUCGGAAUCAUUGGGCGUAAAGCGCGCGUAGGCGGCUCGUUAAGUCGGGUGUGAAAGCCCUGGGCUCAACCCAGGAAGUGCAUUCGAAACUGGCGAGCUUGAAUAUGGAAGAGGGUCGCGGAAUUCCCGGUGUAGAGGUGAAAUUCGUAGAUAUCGGGAGGAACACCAGUGGCGAAGGCGGCGACCUGGGCCAAUAUUGACGCUGAGGUGCGAAAGCGUGGGGAGCAAACAGG